rnacentral:snRNA from 1 species
GUGCUCGCUCCGGCAGCACAUAUACUAAAAUUGGAAUGAUACAGAGAAGAUUAGCACGGCCCCUGCGCAAGGAUGAUACGCAAAUUCGUGACGUGUUCCAUAUUAAA